UCCCCGAAAAGGCAAACCUGCCGAAAGGCAGGGGCGCAAAGCUACAGGGUCUAAAGCCCGGUUGCGGGCCAGGACAGCCAGUUGCCGCG
rnacentral:ncRNA from 1 species